rnacentral:RNase_P_RNA from 1 species
GCGGUAGAUUGGACGAUCGCGGGCACAAAGAAGCAAUUCUGUGCGUGAGGAAAGUCCGAGCUCCACAGGGCAGGGUGCAAGGUAACCCCUUGUGAAGGUAACUUUAAGGAAAGUGCAACAGAAAAUUACCGCCUGCAAAACGCAGGUAAGGAUGAAAAGGCGAGGUAAGAGCUCACCCAUGGUCCGGCGACGGAACCCGUGAUGUAAACCCCACUCGGAGCAACACCUGAUAGAUGAGGUAAAGCUGGCCCGGCGUCUCAUGGGAAGGUGGCUAAAGUCUUGCAGUGAUGCAAGGAUUAGAUAGAUGAUCGUCUUAAAUGACAGAACUCGGCUUACAGGUCUGCCGCAACA